rnacentral:rRNA from 1 species
AGUCGAGCGCGAAAACACUUCGGUGUGAGUAAAGCGGCGGACGGGUGAGUAACGCGUAGGAAUCUACCUAGUAGUGGGGGACAACUCGGGGAAACUCGAGCUAAUACCGCAUACGCCCUACGGGGGAAAGCGGGGGACCUUCGGGCCUCGUGCUAUUAGAUGAGCCUGCGUUGGAUUAGCUAGUUGGUGGGGUAAAGGCCUACCAAGGCGACGAUCCAUAGCUGGUCUGAGAGGAUGAUCAGCCACACCGGGACUGAGACACGGCCCGGACUCCUACGGGAGGCAGCAGUGGGGAAUAUUGCGCAAUGGGCGAAAGCCUGACGCAGCCAUGCCGCGUGUGUGAAGAAGGCCUUCGGGUUGUAAAGCACUUUCAAUUGGGAGGAAAGGUUCACGACUAAUACUCGUGAGCUGUGACGUUACCUUUAGAAGAAGCACCGGCUAACUCCGUGCCAGCAGCCGCGGUAAUACGGAGGGUGCGAGCGUUAAUCGGAAUUACUGGGCGUAAAGCGCGCGUAGGUGGUCUGUUAAGUCGGAUGUGAAAGCCCCGGGCUCAACCUGGGAACUGC